rnacentral:lncRNA from 1 species
AAAACAAGAUUUGGAAUUGUUAACGCUGUAAAGUUACCCAUGCAUAUAACCUGUAAAUAAAAGGCUAUUAAAUAAAAAAAAAAAAAGAAAGAAAGAAAAACCAGCAGAGACAAGUUUAGCUAAAAUUCCUGGAAGAAAGGAAACAAGAGAAAUAACUAUGAAAAGAAAUGAAAACUAGGAAAAAAAAGUAUUGAAAUUUAACUACUUGAUAUAUGAGGUACAAAGCCAGGCAACAGUCCCUGAAAGUUGAAAUGAAUCAAGUAAAAGCUAAUGACUUUAUGAGAAUCCAAAUAUACAAGUAUGACCUUGACUUAGGGUAAUGGGUUCUGAGGGUAGCUGAUGGAAUAGUAUUUCUCUUCUACCCCUUCAGUAAGGCCAAACCAGAAUAGAUGGAGGGAGCCUAUAUCUAGCAAGAAAUUAUAAAUUAGUCUUUCUUUUUAAAGUGAAUAAACAGAAAACUGCACUUAGUUAUGUGUAGAUGCAUUUUUAAAACCAUGUAGAAAAAGUAAUAAAUACUUGCUAGAUUACAGUGAAAAGAAGACCGGAUUUGGAGUCAGAAGACAGUUAAGAUCCUGUGUCUUCAUUACUAGUUUGCCCUUGAGUAAAACACUUCCAUCUCUAUUUCCCCCUUUAAGGUGGGAACGUUCCUUAUGAACCGGGAUAGGGAUACAACAUGAAAGAGAUCUGCACAAAAGAAAAGUUUGUUUAAACACAAAAGACUCACAAGUAUGUACUAACAAAGAUUUAAAUGUAGAACAAUAACUUAAAACUGCAAUUAUAUACUCCUGAAAAAUCAGUUACUUGAACUAUCAAGACAAGUAUUUUGCUGUAGAGUUGAUUGCAUUUCUCUUUUGACAUGACCACAUUAAAUCUGAUGUGAUCCAUGUGAUCCUUUUGACAGGCCAAGCCAUUGAUUGAGAUCUUCUUCCUUUUGGUCAUGGUCUUCUCUAAAGAGUACUGUAAUCACACUGGGAAGAUCUAUCUCCCAAUGUAAGGACCCAGAGGACCCUCAAUUCUCAAACUCACAAGAUCGCCUUCAAAACCUAGAAGUUCAGUCAUCUGUAAUCAGAGAAAGAAACAAAGAUCCAUUUUGGGAAUUGAAGACAAAGUACUUAAAAACAACUAUAUUCAGUUUUCUGUUUCAUUCAUUUAUUUGCACAAAUAUUUCUUGAAU